GCUCCUGUAAGCCAAUCGGAAGACUACCUCGCUACGAACGAGUCAGUUGCAGGUUCGAACCCUGUCGGGAGUGCCA
rnacentral:tRNA from 1 species